UACGUAGGGGGCUAGCGUUGUCCGGAAUCAUUGGGCGUAAAGAGCGUGUAGGCGGCUCGGUAAGUCCGCUGUGAAAGUCCAGGGCUCAACCCUGGAAUGCCAGUGGAAACUGUCGAGCUAGAGUCCGGAAGAGGCGAGUGGAAUUCCUGGUGUAGCGGUGAAAUGCGCAGAUAUCAGGAGGAACACCGAUGGCGAAGGCAGGUCUCUGGGCCACUACUGACGCUGAGAAGCGAAAGCAUGGGGAGCGAACAGG
rnacentral:rRNA from 1 species